CGCUUGAAAUCAAUGGGCCAGGCAAUGAACAUGGCUGGGUCCCAUUGUAAAAGUUCAUGGCAGGAAAUGAGGCUUUGGCUCACCGCAUCUAGCCACUGGAAUUCAGCUGGGGUUUCCAAAAAGGCUGUCCUGGUCAUCAGUCAAAACUCUAGUGAGAGAUAGUGAGCACCCGCAGGAAAAUCCACCUCUUUAUCUUGAUUGCUCUGGACUUGGCCACAUUUUUGUGAGAUCCUACCAUACACACUACAAACAGCAAGGGACCCUGCACUGGGACCCGAUGGUACACUUCAGGACAAAAGCAUCAGCUCAUUAAAAACCACCUUCAACUAUCAUCAUCUGUCUUCUGCUACUUAAGCUGACAUCGCCUCCCAAAUGUACCAGAAAUGUGCAAGAGAUGUAAGAAACAAUAGUUGAUGUAAUAGGUGGUUUGUUGGUUGGUAUUCUACAAACAAAUUCAAAUAGAAAAAAAGGAACUGUUUCACCUUGGUUUAUUUUGUAAUGAGUGUACAGCACUCUCAGUUACGUAGUGUGUCAAUCACUCAUUGUGGUUGCAGUUCAAAAUUCUAGCUUUGCUGGUGAGAAUUGGUGAGGAUUUAUUAAAGGUGUACCAAGAAAUUUUGUUAAUUCCAAUGAAGGAAUAGAUUGCUGUCAAUUAGAAAUGCUGACCCUCAUUUACUUCUAGAUCUGACAGUUUGGAAGUGCUAAUGAAACACAUAUUAAAAAA